GUUUGCGUAGCUUAUGCUGUGGAGCGUCUGGCUACGAACCAGAAGGUCGGGAGUUCGAAUCUCUCCGGGCGCGCCA
rnacentral:tRNA from 1 species